UCCUCUGUGAUGCUCCAGUUUCCCGGGAUGUUGUCUUGGGCGGCAAGGCUGUGACUGUCGCAUGUUCCCUAUGGCAGGCAGGCAGGCAGGGGCCACGUACCCGUCUGGCCUGGCAUCCCUGAGUAGCUUGGCUGCAGGCCUUCGGCUUCCUGAAACACUGAGCCUGUGAGCCUCACUGUCCCCGGCUGUUGGUGGGCAUGGACACUGCACAAAAAGGAACCAGAGUUGUUGGCAUGGAGGUGGGGAUGCCACACAGGAACAUCAGGACUGUGCUCAGAGAAGCAGCGAUCAAAACAUGGAGACGAGCACAACCUCAGCCAGGAUCUCACUGAGGCCCGCUGAGGAAAGCCCUCACGGGCGCGUGCUCAUGGAGAUGUGCAGAAACAUGUCAUGGGAUCACGCAGAGGGGAAACCAGAAGCACCCUGCUCCUCAGAGGGAAGGCGGAGGCAUGGUGCUCACAGGCGAACGAGCCAAAGCUGAAGGCGUCACCUGGAGCUUGUGUGCCCAGUUCUGGGGUACAUGUAUAUGUGUAUGCAUGCUCAGCACUGGAGGUGACCAACCAGAGCCCUCUACAGACUACAGAAAACACUCGCUCCUGUCCUACUCCUGAAGCCAAUUGCAGCUGCUUUCUACCCAGUGUAGUGAGUUGACCUCAACAUUGUUUACUUGUUUCCCCAGUCUUAAGCUCUGUUUAAUCCCAC
rnacentral:lncRNA from 1 species